UACGCUGGCGGCACGCCUAACACAUGCAAGUCGAACGAAGUAGCAAUACUUAGUGGCAGACGGGUGAGUAACAUGUGGGUAUCUACCCUUUGGCCUGGAAUAACACGAGGAAACUUGUGCUAAUACCGGAUAAGUCUUUACAGAGAAAGCUUUAUGCACCAUUGGAUGAGCCCGCACUUGAUUAGUUUGUUGGUAGGGUAAUGGCCUACCAAGACUAUGAUCAAUAGCUGAUUUGAGAGGAUGAUCAGCCACAUUGGGACUGAGACACGGCCCAAACUCCUACGGGAGGCAGCAGUGGGGAAUCUUGCACAAUGGAGGAAACUCUGAUGCAGCGAUGCCGCGUGAGUGAAGAAGGCCUUUGGGUUGUAAAGCUCUUUCGUCGGGGAAGAAAAUGACUGUACCCGAAUAAGAAGGUCCGGCUAACU
rnacentral:rRNA from 1 species